GGGGAGCUCAGUGGUACAGCAUGUUCUUAAAAUGUACAAGGCUCUGGGUUCAAUUCCCAGCACCA
rnacentral:tRNA from 1 species